UACCCCUAUUUAAACCUGUUAAUAAGCCUAAUUGCAACAAGCGGUUGAACCUGUAAGACUUUCUUCAUAACUGCUUUCCUGUCUUCUAAUAAAGCUCCAUCCCCUCCGCGCCAAUCCCCAGAUCCUCCUCCAAAUGGGCGACCCCACCCAUGACUCCUCCGAUUUCCUCACCGACAAAUCGGCUAAAAUCUUUGUGGCUGGACACCGCGGUCUAGUCGGCUCGGCAAUCGUCCGUAAACUUCAAUCCCUUGGCUUCACCAAUCUUGUCCUGCGGUCCCACUCCGAGCUCGAUCUCACUCGCCAAUUUGAUGUGGACUCCUUCUUUGCCGCCGAGAAGCCCCGAUUUGUUAUCCUAGCCGCUGCUAAAGUCGGCGGGAUCCACGCUAACAAUACGUACCCUGCCGAUUUCAUUGCUAUAAAUCUCCAGAUCCAAACUAAUGUGAUUGACUCCUCAUUUCGCCACGGAGUUAAGAAAUUUUUGUUUUUGGGAUCUUCAUGUAUUUACCCAAAGUUAGCACCGCAGCCCAUUCCUGAAAAUGCACUGCUUACUGGGCCUUUAGAGCCUACGAAUGAGUGGUACGCAAUUGCGAAGAUAGCUGGGAUUAAGAUGUGCCAGGCUUACAGGAUUCAGUAUAGCUGGGAUGCUAUUUCUGGAAUGCCGACCAACUUAUAUGGUCGGAAUGAUAAUUUUCAUCCGGAGAAUUCUCAUGUUUUGCCGGCAUUGAUGAGGAGGUUUCACGAGGCGAAGGUGAAUAAUGCGAAACAAGUGCUGGUCUGGGGAACUGGGAGUCCGUUGAGGGAGUUUUUGCAUGUUGAUGAUUUGGCGGAUGCGGUGGUGUUUUUGAUGGACAAGUAUAGUGGGUUGGAGCAUUUAAAUGUGGGCAGUGGGAAGGAGGUUACUAUAAAGGAUUUGGCAGAGUUGGUGAAGGAGGUUGUAGGGUUUGAAGGUGAUCUUGUUUGGGAUACAUCAAAGCCAGAUGGGACUCCGAGGAAGUUAAUGGAUAAUUCUAAGUUGUUGGGGUUGGGUUGGACACCGAAGAUUUCACUUAAGGAUGGGCUUGUUGAUACUUAUAAGUGGUAUGUGGAGAAUGUGGCGGGGCAAUGAUGCAGGUUUAACACAAAAUCCUUGCAUCGAUAUAGUGAUAGACCAUGUAAAACUCCAGUGCAGGGAUUUGGUGUAUAAAAGCUUAAUCCUCAAUCACUGGCAUUAUGAAAUUCAUGCUCCUGUCCUAUGCUAUGUUGACUCCGAAGAAGAAUUGGGGCUUGUUUGAGGCAAUUUUGAGUUCAUGACUUUGAUACUGGCUCCCUUAAAACUAGGUUGAUUGUGAAUAGAAGGUUGCUUUUUCUGUGUUUCCUGUGGUACAUUGGCACUGAGUUAUGUUCUGAAGGUCUGGUGCUCUUAUACAACUCUUGCAUUGAGUACUUCUCUGCUUAGAUCAAUUUAUCAUAGAAAGUAAGGCAACAAAAGGAAAGAUGGUUUCUUAACUACUAGUUACCACUUCUGAAGCAUGCUGUUAAUUGAUCGGGAAAGGCUUAUCAAUUUGCAACGUCUGAGUGUUGUUGUUUCAAAACAGCUGGUCCACCGAAUUUUUUCCAACUCUAUAUUAACUUGUCUACAACUUAGGUGAUUUA